rnacentral:lncRNA from 1 species
CCCGAGGGCAGCACAAACUAUGGGUGCUCUCUUCGGUGGGGGGGGGUUGCUAUGGAGAGUCAUCGUUUCAACGUUGCAUUCCAUUAAGAAAAGGUGAUAAUGUCCAGGAAGAGGAUUUACAAAACUUUUAGAAGCGUGAAACUCGAUUUAAUAUCACGUGCACUGUUAUGCACGGAAGGGUUCUUGGUCGAGUCGUUGUUUCCCCCUGACUUUUUCUAGCAAUGGUAUUACCCAUCCCGUCCCUCCUUUGCAGAUUGGAGCCUAUGUCCAGACUCUCCCGUUGGAUUGGCUGCGACUAUCGGACGUUCCUCCUCCAACCGCCAACAGCCUACUUUAGAAGCCAACCUCGCCUUAGCAACCAGACAAACUCAUCCACGCCGCUACUAGCCGGGCCGGAAUCUUAGCUUCUUUCUCCUCAGCGUAUAGGCUAAUCCCAUUGUCCCUCAGAAGAUGCUCUGAGCCGGCCCACCCCCCUGAUUGGCUACUUGCCUUAAGGUUUCUGUUCUAUUGAAAAGUACGCACUCCCAGAGCAAUUGUCACUGCCAAAUCUUGGAGCAACUUUAGCUUAUGGUUACAAGCGCUCCCAUUUUUGUUCUGCUUUCGGGCAGGAGCAUGGCAGGCCUGGAAAUCGUUAGGUCCAAUUCUCAUAUGUACAGAUUGGAGAAAUAGGUGCAGAGAUACUUAUUCAUAUUCACGCGAGUAGUAAAUAGUGGUGCUCGGGACUCGAACCCAGGACCUCCAGCUCCAAGCCUCGUUGUCUCCUUCCUCUAACUUCCUCCAGAAGUCCGCGCCCGUGUGAGAGAGCCAGGACAAGUAAUCUACCCAUUUUACAGAUGAGGAAAACUGACUUUCCAAAGAUCACACAGCAAUUAAAUGGUUCCUUCACAUACUUCUCACUGGAGGACGAUUUCCCAGCUUGCAAAGGGUCUGUAGGACAUUGGACUUCCUAUCUUCCAGUCAGUGACCUAAAUGGUAUUCUCAGAUCAGCUGGUGGUUUCAUCAUGGGGAGUCGAGGACUUCUUGAACCCCACCCACCCAAAGGAAACUAAUUUCUAGCUCUACUAGAGACCAAGAAGCUCAAGGAAAACCAAAAUGCCAGCAUUGGACUUGGAGAUACUCCAGGAGCAGCAUAACAAAGAGAAUUCAGGAAAGCUGUUCCAGUCCCCAUUCCCCCCCAGGAGAGAAAGCUAGGAAUUUACCUUUUAGUUCAAUAAAACCUCCUUUAUCUUCCUACCA